AUGCAAGUUUUGCAGAUAUUCAUAAAAGUCAUACAGCUUCAAAAGUUGUUACUUCUGAAAAUCAAGUUUUAAACCCAACAUGUAGUAAUAUUUGUAAUGCAAGUUUUGCAGAUAUUCAUAAAAGUCAUACAGCUUCAGAAGAUGUUGCUUCUGAAAAUCAAGUUUUAAACCCAACAUGUAGUAAUAUUUGUAAUGCAAGUUUUACAGAUAUUCAUGAAAGUCAUACAGCUUCAGAAGUUGUUACUUCUGAAAAUCAAGUUUAAAACCCAACAUGUAGUAAUAUUUGUAAUGCAAGUUUUACAGAUAUUCAUGAAAGUCAUACAGCUUCAGAAGAUGUUGCUUCUGAAAAUCAAGUUUUAAACCCAACAUGUAGUAAUAUUUGUAAUGCAAGUUUUACAGAUAUUCAUGAAAGUCAUACAGCUUCAGAAGUUGUUACUUCUGAAAAUCAAGUUUCAAACCCAACAUGUAGUAAUAUUUGUAAUGCAAGUUUUGCAGAUAUUCAUAAAAGUCAUACAGCUUCAAAAGUUGUUACUUCUGAAAAUCAAGU
rnacentral:lncRNA from 1 species